CGUAUUAACAGAGAGAAGCGAUACCGCGAGGUGGAGCAAACCUCNCAAAAAUAGUCUCAGUUCGGAUCGCAGGCUGCAACCCGCCUGCGUGAAGCCGGAAUUGCUAGUAAUCGCGGAUCAGCAUGCCGCGGUGAAUACGUUCCCGGGCCUUGUACACACCGCCCGUCACACCAUGAGAGCCGGGGGGACCCGAAGUCGGUAGUCUAACCGUAAGGAGGACGCCGCCGAAGGUAGGACAGAUGAUUAGGGUGAAGUCGUAACAAGGUAGC
rnacentral:rRNA from 1 species